GCAGCAGUAGGGAAUCUUCCGCAAUGGGCGAAAGCCUGACGGAGCAACGCCGCGUGAGUGAUGAAGGUCUUCGGAUCGUAAAACUCUGUUAUUAGGGAAGAACAUAUGUGUAAGUAACUGUGCACAUCUUGACGGUACCUAAUCAGAAAGCCACGGCUAACUACGUGCCAGCAGCCGCGGUAAUACGUAGGUGGCAAGCGUUAUCCGGAAUUAUUGGGCGUAAAGCGCGCGUAGGCGGUUUUUUAAGUCUGAUGUGAAAGCCCACGGCUCAACCGUGGAGGGUCAUUGGAAACUGGAAAACUUGAGUGCAGAAGAGGAAAGUGGAAUUCCAUGUGUAGCGGUGAAAUGCGCAGAGAUAUGGAGGAACACCAGUGGCGAAGGCGACUUUCUGGUCUGUAACUGACGCUGAUGUGCGAAAGCGUGGGGAUCAAACAGGAUUAGAUACCCUGGUAGUCCACGCCGUAAACGA
rnacentral:rRNA from 1 species